UACAGAGGGUGCGAGCGUUAAUCGGAAUUACUGGGCGUAAAGUGUGCGCAGGCGGCCGAGCAAGUCGAGUGUGAAAGCCCCGGGCUUAACUUGGGAAUUGCGCUCGAAACUACUUGGCUGGAGUGUGGCAGAGGAAGGUGGAAUUCCAGGUGUAGCGGUGAAAUGCGUAGAGAUCUGGAGGAACACCGAUGGCGAAGGCAGCCUUCUGGGCCAACACUGACGCUCAUGCACGAAAGCGUGGGGAGCGAACAGG
rnacentral:rRNA from 1 species